CCUACGGGUGGCAGCAGUGAGGAAUAUUUGUCAAUGGGCGUACGCCUGAACCAGCCACGUCGCGUGCAGGAUGACGGCCCUACGGGUUGUAAACUGCUUUUAUACGGGAAUAACGCGCCUUACGUGUAGGUCUUUGCAUGUACCGUCUGAAUAAGGACCGGCUAAUUCCGUGCCAGCAGCCGCGGUAAUACGGAAGGUCUGGGCGUUAUCCGGUUUUCUUGGGUUUAAAUGGAGCGUAGGCCGAAUGUCAAGCGUGCUGUUAAAUGUCCGGGCUCAACCCGGGCCUUGCAGCGCAAACUGGCGUGCUUGAGUCCGCGGAAGGCAGGCGGAAUU
rnacentral:rRNA from 1 species